CUUUUUAGGAGAUUUGCAGAUCAUUAAGAACAAGUUCCUUUAACACUAUAUCACCUUUAGCAUAUGCUUAUGUUUUGUUGCUUCCCCCAUUCUUCAAAAUUACUCGGUUAUUUGCUCCUGGCUUGUCAUAUCUCAACUAAGCUCAUCUUUUUGUUGAUGGUGGUCCUAGUUGUCUAACAUCGUGUUCCAGCAUUUAUCACAGGGUCAUUGUUGUCAUUAUGGUAUUUUAUUUAAAUGUGUUACCAUGAAUGAGUGGAUUUACAAUAUAUUAAUCAUGUCUUAUCCAUUAUAUCUAUCUUGUCUGCCAAUGAGUGAAGGAUGUCCAUAUCCUUGAGUUAAGCUGGGCACUACCUUGUCUUUUGCAAGAGUAUAUGAAGAAACUGGAAGAUUAUUUGGCUCAUCUUCUUGGUCAUGGUAUAUAAUUAUGUAUUAUCUUAAUGAUUAAGUAGGAGGUUGCUCACGAAAGUAUUAAUAACAAAGAAAAAGAUGCAGAUUUCUGAGUCUUUAAUCCUUUUGUAGUACACUCCUGCAAUUGAUAUGUGGAGUAUAGGAUGCAUAUUUGUUGAGAUACUUACAGGAAAAACCACUUUUUCCUGGAAAAAAUGUGGUGCACCAAUUGGAUCUCAUGAUCGAUAUGCUUGGCACUCCUCCUCCUGAAUCUAUAUCAAGGAUUAGAAAUGAAAAGGCAAGGAGGUACCUUAGUAGCAUGCGUAAAAAGCCACCAGUUCCUUUCUGACAGAAGUUCCCUAAUGUGGAUCCCGGGGCUCUUCGCCUACUUGAGCGCUUACUUACAUUUGAUCCAAAAGAUCGUCCAAUGGCUGAAGAAGCAUUAGCUGAUCCAUACUUUUAUGGUUUAGCAAAUGUGGAUCGUGAACCAUCCACUCAACCUAUUUCGAAAGUAGAAUUUGAGUUUGAGAUAAGGAAAUUGGCAAAAGAUGAUGUUAGAGAGUUGAUUUAUAGAGAGAUACUCCACAUUUGUUGCUUUGGUAUUAUCUGGUUUCUAUUUAUCAUAUAGCUUAACCAAUUUGUGGCUUAACAGAUAUUAGAGUAUCAUCCCCAGAUGCUGCAGGAGUACCUCCGCGGUGGGAAUCAGACCAACUUCAUAUACCUUUCAAGCUCUUAACUUUUGUUGCUUAAUAUCCUUUAAAAAUCCUCUUGUUUCUUAAUAUGAUGUCCAAGAUUGUCCUUAUACAGUUUAGAUACAGCUUAGUAAAGUAAUACUUUUUGAGUGGUUUUGUAGAUCGAAUCCUCAUUUCAAGUUAUAUAGUGCUUAAGCGAAAUAUAGGGGGUGAGGGUCUGGAAAUUCUAAAUUCCAGUUGAUAACAUUUUCUUCUAGCAUUACAAAUAACGAUAUUAUUUUUCUUUUUUCAAUCAAAUAGUGGCGUUGAGUGAUUCAAACGAUAAUUUGCACAUUUGGAGGAACAUUAUGGUAAAGGUAAAAGAAGUACUCAAUUUCUAAGACAUCAUGCUUUUUUGCCAAGGUAUGCUUCAUAAAAUUUUAGGAAUCAUGUUAGUUCUAUAAUUUCUCCCCCAAACUUAGUCUGUUUAGUUCAUGUGUCAUAUUUCAAUUUGCCUGAAUAUCGUCUUUACAAAGAGCGAGUUUCUGCUCCCAAAGAUGAGAAUGAUCAAGUUGAUGGAGAGAAUAACGUUGUUUCAAUGACACAAUAUGGUUCAGAAAGCGCUAGUGCUUCAAUGACACAAUAUGGUUCUGAAAUACAAAUUGCAGAAGCACUGGAAGCUUGGAUAUGGUAUCUAGCUACUGUUUGAUCAUUACUGCACUCCAUUGGAUCAGAUAUGCAGAAGGUAGACAAGGUGUGAAUUUGUCUGUUAUCGACUUAACACCACAUAAGAUGUACAAGUAUGGAGCAAAUGGUGAAACUGAUGAUAUAUUGGAAUACCAUGAUACUUUUGAUUUUUCACAAGACUUCCCUUUAGUAGAACUUGAUGAUGAUUUCUUGUGUACACGCCCGGAUGGCGAGGAC